rnacentral:lncRNA from 1 species
CAUAUGUACCUAUUUAUGUUAUUAUUAUUAAAAAGAACACACACACACUCAUUCACAUUUACAAGCACGUUCUCAAGAUUUGAAAUCAACAAAGUAUUUGCUCUGCAGUGGUUACUCAUCCUAGCAUAGUUUCUCUCUCUCCUGCCUGCGUGACACAGCACCCGGCAAGAAAGACUCGACAUUGGGUCGUCCCCACACUUGGAGCUCGCUGAGCAGCAAAGCCCCAUGGCGUUGUAGCUUCAGUUCGACAAUCAAUCUAACAACUGGUGCGGCGGAAAUGCAAGCGCAACGAGUGCUGAACUCCGUGAUCUGGACUCCGGCGAUCUGCUAUCAGUUAUAUACAGACUCCAUGGAACAAGCUCUGCAGCCCCAUGCUAAUCAGGGCCCUCUCGUCUGAAAAACGCUAAUCAGCCCCUGCUCGACGUGGUUCACACUGUCGGAAUUUGUGAGGGAGGAAAGUUGCGCGGAACGUGACGACGCAGAGAAGCCAGAACUGCCAGAGCCCCUCCUGCCCCAGAGUCAAGCAGCAGCCGACCCAUGUGAUUUGGCGGUACACCGCCUGCCCUGCACACAACGAAUGGCCCUCGAACGUAUGGAAGGCGAUCCGGCGAUGCCCAAUCGCGCGAUGUGUGCUACGCGCAGGGGCCGCCUCGGUUGUCGCGCCUGCUCGUUCACGGUCAUACAUGACACGGUAACAUGUUCUCUGCCAUGAAACGUUUAGCACGGACUCAGGGUGUCUAGUGCAGAUCCAAGCAUCCUAUGGAACCGUCCCUAGCUUCAUUCAUGUCCACGUCGGAAUUAAAAACGUGCCAGCGUGUUGAGAACGACACGUGUCGAAUCAUGGAACAGGAGAGUUACAAGCAAUACUAGUUGUUAUUUGACAAAGUGGUUUCUCUUCUUGACUAAACCCUAAACACACUAGUAAAAUAUCAUUGUAAUGGAGAUGAACAGUGAUGUGCAAAUAGAGUACCCAUUUGUGUCGUUUCACGAAGCUAACUCGAUUUGAAGGUCCAGAUAGAUCUCGCAGAGUUUCGUUGCAGCAAUCAGAUGAGUGAAUGCCUCAGUAAUCCACUGAUUUCAUCGAACGGAGGAACUUCCCGUACGACUCGAGAUUGACGUGCAUCCACCCCAAGGCCCAGAUUCCCCGAUGAGGAGAAAGAAAAAACGCAACUACAACAUCGCACGGCAGAGCGCGUUCGAAUUGGCAGCAUGUGAGAGCGAAUCUCGGGGAUGGGCCUGUGAGAUCCUUGCUUGCUUGCUGCAGGGACGACGAAGAGGACGGGAAAAGCCUAACGUUGGACCUUAAUCUAGUUUGGUACAAGGCCAGCUCGCAUCACCCACUUUCAAUAGGAGCAGCUCAAUGCCGGCGCCGAACGAGUUUCCUGAAUCCUUUCGUCCCCCUCGGACAUGAGAAUCCAGCGGCGAGAGAGCGUGACGACGACGCUCUUAUGCCAUAUCGGUGAUGCUUAUCCAACAUUACUAAUGAAUGAUGGCCUCAUAAAACGCUCGUAAGGCCCAACUUGCUUCUCAUUAAUGAGAUGAAGUAACAUGAUAAUAAUAAUAGUAACUGCAAUUGGAGGUUUUAACUUUGAUUAAUAUACACGAAAACUUGUAUGGUAUAAUCUUAUUGGGUAGGGGUGGUUCAAAGCACUAUAUGAUUGUGGAUCCUUUCGACACUCAAGAGUCUUUAUACGUGUCAGGUAAGGUGAAAGGUCACACAACUUUUGAAUAUUUUGAUUGGUUAAAAUUUAGUGAUUUUUCAACUUUAGACAAAUAAAGGAUUCAAAUAGUUGUUUCUUCUCACCUUGUCUCCUAGAUGUAAAGAUUAUGUCAAUUUUGAUCCUUGAUUUCUUUUAGAUAAAUUAAGGAUUAAUUAUUAAUCAUUUUAAUUGAUUAAAAAAUAAAUGUGAUGUGUUCAUAUCAUUUUUUUUUUUUUUUUUUUUUUUUUUUAUUUUAAGUUCACUAUUUUGUUUUAAUAGCAAGGUUUUAUUUUUCAACACAUAGAGUUAUACAUAAGUCAACAAAUUUAAAAUCAGGUGAAAUGUAAUUUGAUUUGUUCUAAAGGUUGUAGAAUUUUUACCACAUAAUUCAACGACUUAAAAGCUUCCUAAGUAGCUAUAUAAUUAUAAGGCUAUAUUUAGAGCUAGAACUACUAUAGCAACAUUAAAUAUAUUUUUUAUUUAAUAAAUAUUGUACAUAAUAAAAAGUAUUAUUUAUUUGUGAAUUCAUGGAAAAAGUUGUGGCUCCUAGAUGAAUAACAUGGCCUCAUUUCUACCAAAUAUUACUUAGUGUUUCCACCAAAUAUUACUUAGUAUGUUUCAACUUAUUUAAUAAAACUAAAAUUUUUUAGUUUCUAAAUUUAUAUUUUGAUCAAUUUUUAUUCUCAUAUAUUAAAUAAGUUGAAACAUACUAAGUAAUAGCUUGAUCACUUACUAAAAAAACAACAAUACAUAUAAGUAUAGUUCUUAAUUGAUGUUUUAAUUAGAAGUGAUUCAAUUCAAUAUUUACUACUUCUUAUUCUUCAUCUUAGAGUAGUACAAUUUAGUAAUUAUAUCUCAUCCAACUUAUUCCUAUUACAUAUUUAUGUAUUAUCUCAUUCUUUUAAGAGUCAAUAAAAUUGACAUAUAUCACUCAUUAUAAAUUACACAAUUUCCAUCAAGUUUUUCUGAAUUUAAUAUAUUUAAUUUAUAAAUUUUUACAUUCUUAGAUUCUAAUAUAAAUCAACAAUAAAAGUAAGUCUUCUUAUGUUUUUUAAAAUUCAAUAAGCUUUGAUUCAUAAAAUACUAAAUAAAUAAUUUAAAACAUAGUAAUUCUAAUGUAUUUAGUUUGAUGGAUCCUACAUAAUUAUGUUCUUGUUCAAAAAAAAAAAAAAACAUAAAAAACAUAAAAAGUCACACAUUCACAAAGAAAAAGAAAAAUAAAAUAGAAUUAUUUUAUUAAGCUCUAAAAAAAAAAUGCACACAAUUGUGAUGCUAUCAAGUUAAGCUUUAGAGCUUUUAAAAUCCUCAAAGACAAUCCAAAAAAUAUCUUAAAUAUCUACCAUAUAGAAAAUGUAUUUUUUAAGAUAGGUAUUAUCACUUGUUCCCUUCCUAUCAAGGAGAAAUUAAAAAAAAAAAAAAAAAAAAUCUUCUUUUCUAUUUAACCUAUAUAGAAAUAGGUGACAACAUAUCAAAAAAGCUCACUAUAUAUAUAUAUAUAUUUAAGGAAUAUUAAAAUUAUAUAUAGAAAAUAAAAUAAAUAAUAUAAUUUCAUAUCAAAAAAUUUAAAAAUGAUUUUUAUAGUUGAAUAAAUUUCUAUGCAAAAGAAAUAUGGAAGAAUUCAAUGAUUUUUAAACUUUUAUAUGUUUUAAAUCAAUAAUGAUUUGAAAGUAAGAUAUAUUUUUGAUUUAUUUAUAUUAUUCUUUUGAAUAAAUAUAUAAGAUAUUUAAUUCAUAUUUAUUUUCUAUUUAAAUAUUUAUAGUUUAUUCAUUUAAUUAAAUUUAAUAAAAUGAUGUUCCAAUGAGCAAAGAUCUAGAUUUAUAAUUUUUUUUAUAUUUUAUUUAUUUAUUUGUUUAUUUAUUAUUAAUACGAUUUUUUUUAUUAGGAUGAUUUUUUAAAAAAGAAUUUAAAAAAUUUAAUAAAAGAGAUAUUAUUAAUUAUUUUUUUUAAAUAUCUUUAGAAGUUUUUAGUUUAGUUUCAAGAGUCUAUAUUCUUCUUAUCUUUUAUAAUAGUCAUUUUAGUCUUAAUAUUAUAUUAUUUUUGAAGUGAAUAUUUAUUCUUCUUUAGUUGUACAAGAAUAUUUUAAAAUUCUUAUUUUGAUUCUUGACCUUAUCAUAGUGUUAAAGAACUAUCUUGUAGCUUGAACAAUUCAAAGAUCAAGUACAUAGGUGGAAUGCAAGAAAAACUAUCAAACUUGUCAAAAUGUAGAAAUUAAUUUGAUACACAUAAGAGAUAUAGUAUCAGCUUUACUUUUAAAAUGCAUAAUUAAUAUAACAAGAUAUAGAUAAGAUAAUUGUAUAAAUAAAUAGAACCAUGGAAGUUUCUAGAAUUGGAGUUAGGUUAGUAGACCACGUAGGACCUAUUGUGGAACAAUCUAGAAAGAAUUUAGGGCAGUUAUCUAGGUAGGGCCUACCAUAGAACCUUCUAGAAAAGGCUUAGGGCAGUUAUUUAGAUGGAGUCCAUCAUCUAAGAAUAUUUUAGAAAGUCCAAGGUGGUAGGACAAGGUAUAAAUAGGAUUGGCUAGGGCCUUUUGGGACAUUUGGUUAGGUAUGGCUUCAGACCCUUUCUUUUUAGUAAAGUUUGGUUUUGCAUCUUUUUGUUCAAUUCUAUUCUAUUCUAUUUUCAUUUGCUUAGUUUGUCUUUCAUGUCCUAUUCUGUUUGGUUUUCUUCAGCUCUAUUCUGGUUUAUUUUGUCUUAUUUUGUAAUGAGGUUUUAUGUUGCUAUAGAAUAAAAGGAUCUUGGAUUUUUUUGAGAUAGUCUGGUCUUGAUUUAUUAAUAUUAGAGUGAGUGUUAGAUUG